UACGGGGGGGGCAAGCGUUGUUCGGAAUUACUGGGCGUAAAGGGCGCGUAGGCGGCCUGUUAAGUCGAACGUGAAAUCCCCGGGCUCAACCCGGGAACUGCGUCCGAUACUGGCAGGCUUGAAUCCGGGAGAGGGAUGCGGAAUUCCAGGUGUAGCGGUGAAAUGCGUAGAUAUCUGGAGGAACACCAAUUGCGAAGGCAGCUCGCUGGGACGUAACUGACGCUGAGACGCGAAAGCGUGGGGAGCAAACAGG
rnacentral:rRNA from 1 species